GGGAGAUUUAGAGGCUUUGUCGUGGCACCCACCCAGGAAAAUUCCCUAAGCCUUUUGCACCCUCCUGCCUAAGCUAUUCUAACUCAUCUCUGCACCUCUCCCGCACUCGCCUACUAUUCCCAAGCCCAGAGAGUCAAGCAGCAACAUUUUAGUAAAGAAACCAGGGACCCGCAUCCUCCCCAGGUUACAGUCCUGUGUCCCUGCAUGGCUGCAUGUUGUCUGCAGGCCACAUCUCCUCAGGACUCCCGCACUCAUCACUUUCCCAUUGCUAUGGAAGAGAGGUGUCAAGGUGGCACCUGCCUCCCUGUCCGUAGUGCUCAGGUGUGUGGCUACCAGAGGAAAAGCCACUCCCAACCUUUGCCGACAACCAUCCCGUUUCUGGGUUCCUGGAGAAGUCUGGGAAGCUGCUCUGUUGUAGAGGCUGAAAGGAGGGCUGGUGAGAGCCCCCAGCUCCAAACCAGCCCUGCCCCUUACCCUUCCU
rnacentral:antisense_RNA from 1 species